AACGGCCAUACCAUGCUGAAUAUACCGGUUCUCGUUAGAUCACCGAAGUCAAGCAUCAUUGGGCGCGGUCAGUACUUGGGUGGGUGACCACCAGGGAACACCGCGUGCCGUUG
rnacentral:rRNA from 1 species